UGGCGGACGGGUGAGUAACGCGUGGGUAACCUGCCUCAUACAGGGGGAUAACAGUUAGAAAUGACUGCUAAUACCGCAUAAGACCACAGAGCCGCAUGGCUCGGUGGGAAAAACUCCGGUGGUAUGAGAUGGACCCGCGUCUGAUUAGGUAGUUGGUGGGGUAACGGCCUACCAAGCCAACGAUCAGUAGCCGACCUGAGAGGGUGACCGGCCACAUUGGGACUGAGACACGGCCCAA
rnacentral:rRNA from 1 species